CACGUAGGGCGCAAGCGUUGUCCGGAAUUAUUGGGCGUAAAGAGCUCGUAGGCGGUCUGUUACGUCUGCUGUGAAAACCCUGGGCUUAACCCUGGGCUUGCAGUGGAUACGGGCAGACUAGAGGCAGGUAGGGGAGAAUGGAAUUCCCGGUGUAGCGGUGAAAUGCGCAGAUAUCGGGAGGAACACCGGUGGCGAAGGCGGUUCUCUGGGCCUGACCUGACGCUGAGGAGCGAAAGCGUGGGGGAGCGAACAGG
rnacentral:rRNA from 1 species